AUUGAACGCUGGCGGCAGGCCUAACACAUGCAAGUCGAGCGGCAGCGGGAAAGUAGCUUGCUACUUUUGCCGGCGAGCGGCGGACGGGUGAGUAAUGCCUGGGGAUCUGCCCAGUCGAGGGGGAUAACUACUGGAAACGGUAGCUAAUACCGCAUACGCCCUACGGGGGAAAGCAGGGGACCUUCGGGCCUUGCGCGAUUGGAUGAACCCAGGUGGGAUUAGCUAGUUGGUGAGGUAAUGGCUCACCAAGGCGACGAUCCCUAGCUGGUCUGGGAGGACGAUCAGCCAGACUGGAACUGAGACACGGUCCAGGCUCCUAAGGGAGGCAGCAGUGGGGAAUAUUGCACAAUGGGGGAAACCCUGAUGCAGCCAUGCCGCGGGUGUGAAGAAGGCCUUCGGGUUGUAAAGCACUUUCAGCGAGGAGGAAAGGUUGGUAGCUAAUAACUGCCAGCUGUGACGUUACUCGCAGAAGAAGCACCGGCUAACUCCGUGCCAGCCGCCGCCGUAA
rnacentral:rRNA from 1 species